rnacentral:rRNA from 1 species
AGUGAACGCUGGCGGUAGGCCUAACACAUGCAAGUCGAACGGCAGCACAGGAGAGCUUGCUCUCUGGGUGGCGAGUGGCGGACGGGUGAGGAAUACAUCGGAAUCUACCUUUUCGUGGGGGAUAACGUAGGGAAACUUACGCUAAUACCGCAUACGACCUACGGGUGAAAGUGGGGGACCGCAAGGCCUCACGCGAUUAGAUGAGCCGAUGUCCGAUUAGCUAGUUGGCGGGGUACUGGCCCACCAAGGCGACGAUCGGUGGCUGGUCUGAGAGGAUGAUCAGCCACACUGGAACUGAGACACGGUCCAGACUCCUACGGGAGGCAGCAGUGGGGAAUAUUGGACAAUGGGCGCAAGCCUGAUCCAGCCAUACCGCGUGGGUGAAGAAGGCCUUCGGGUUGUAAAGCCCUUUUGUUGGGAAAGAAAUCCUGUCGAUUAAUACUCGGUGGGGAUGACGGUACCCAAAGAAUGAGCACCGGCUAACUUCGUGCCAGCCGCCGCGGUAAGAC